AGUGAACGCUGGCGGUAGGCCUAACACAUGCAAGUCGAACGGCAGCACAGUAAGAUCUUGCUCUUACGGGUGGCGAGUGGCGGACGGGUGAGGCAUACAUCGGAAUCUACUUUUUCGUGGGGGAUAACGGAGGGAAACUUACGCUAAUACCGCAUACGACCUACGGGUGAAAGCAGGGGAUCUUCGGACCUUUCGCGAUUGAAUGAGCCGAUGUCGGAUUAGCUAGUUGGCGGGGUAAAGGCACACCAAGGCAACGAUCCGUAGCUGGUCUGAGAGGAUGAUCAGCCACACUGGAACUGAGACACGGUCCAGACUCCUACGGGAGGCAGCAGUGGGGAAUAUUGGACAAUGGGCGCAAGCCUGAUCCAGCCAUACCGCGUGGGUGAAGAAGGCCUUCGGGUUGUAAAGCCCUUUUGUUGGGAAAGAAAAGCAGCAGGUUAAUACCCCGCUGUUCUGACGGUACCCAAAGAAUAAGCACCGGCUAACUUCGUG
rnacentral:rRNA from 1 species